UAACGAAUCUUCCGCAAUGUACGAAAGUAUGACGGAGCGACGCCGCGUGUGGGACGAAGCCCUUCGGGGUGUAAACCACUGUCAGGGGACAGAAAGUUCUGAUCGUCCCCAGAGGAAGGCACGGCUAACUCUGUGCCAGCAGCCGCGGUAAGACAGAGGUGCCAAGCGUUAGGCGGAAUCACUGGGCUUAAAGCGUGUGUAGGCGGAUUCCUAAGUACCUUGUGAAAUCCCACGGCUCAACCGUGGAACUGCUUGGUAUACUGGGUGUCUUGAGCCAACUAGGGGCUACCGGAACAAAUGGUGGAGCGGUGAAAUGCGUAGAUAUCAUUUGGAACGCCAAUGGUGAAAACAGGUAGCUGGGAGUGUGCUGACGCUGAGACACGAAAGCCAGGGGAGCGAACGGGAUUAGAUACCCCUGUAGUCC
rnacentral:rRNA from 1 species